UGUGGGAGCGAGCCUGCUCGCGAUAGCGAUGCUUCAGUCACAGCCUUAUCGACUGUGAAACAGCCAUCGCGAGCAGGCUCGCUCCCACA
rnacentral:misc_RNA from 1 species